rnacentral:rRNA from 1 species
UCCAAUCGAACCCGGAGAUAGCUGGUUCUCCUCGAAAUAGUUUUAGGACUAGCCUUAAUUUAGUCUGAUGGAGGUAGAGCACUGAAUUUUUGCGGGGGCGUCAAAGCUUACCAAUGAAUAUCAAACUGCGAAUGCCAUACAGAUGAUGAUUAGGAGUCAGACUACACGAGAUAAGUUGGGUAGUCGAAAGGGAAAGAGCCCAGAUCUACGGCUAAGGUCCCAAAGUGAGUGUUAAGUGGAAAAGGAUGUAGGAUCUCAUAGACAACUAGGAUGUUGGCUUAGAAGCAGCCAUACAUUAAAAGAGUGCGUAAUAGCUCACUAGUCGAGAGGUUCUGCGCCGAAAAUGUCCGGGGCUAAAACACUACACCGAAGCCAAGGGAUGACGAAAGUCAUCGGUAGAGGAGCAAUCUUACCGACGUAGAAGCCAUACCGAAAGGAGUGGUGGAGAAGUAAGAAGAGAGAAUGCCGGAAUGAGUAGCGAGAGUGAGGUGAGAAUCCUCACGGCCAAAUACCCAAGGAUUCCAGAGUAAAGCUGAUCUGCUCUGGGUAAGUCGGGACCUAAGGCGAGGGAGAAAUCCGUAGUCGAUGGACAUCAGGUAUAUAAUCCUGAACUGCAUAUAAUCAGAAAUGUGGGGACACAGAGACUUAAGUCGAACCCGGGAGAGCAAAAACCGGGAUAAGCGAGGUAGCAGGUGGUAGGAAAAACCGCCACGAAAUGCGAAUACGUGAUAUGUAGCGAAGAAAAGUAGCGAAGUCGAAUAGGGAGCUGUCAAGAAAAGCCGCUAUAGCGUUAUAUGUACCCGUACCGAAAACCGACACAGGUGGGUGAGGAGAGAAUCCUAAGGCCGGCGGGAGAAGCAUUGUUAAGGAACUCGGCAAAAUGACCCCGUAACUUCGGGAGAAGGGGUACCGAAAGGUCACAGAAAAAAGGCUCAAGCAACUGUUUAGCAAAAACACAGGUCUAUGCGAAACCGAAAGGUGAAGUAUAUGGGCUGACGCCUGCCCGGUGCUGGAAGGUUAAGAGGAGAGGUUAGGCAACGAAGCUUUGAAUCUAAGCCCCAGUAAACGGCGGCCGUAACUAUAACGGUCCUAAGGUAGCGAAAUUCCUUGUCGGGUAAGUUCCGACCCGCACGAAAGGCGUAAUGAUUUGAGCGCUGUCUCAACAAUGCACCCGGUGAAAUUGAAGUACCAGUGAAGAUGCUGGUUACCUGCGCCAGGACGGAAAGACCCCAUGGAGCUUUACUCUAGUUUGAUACUGGGGUUUGAUGAUGCAUGUACAGGAUAGGUGGGAGACUGCGAGGCGAGGACGCCAGUUUUCGCGGAGUCACUGUUGGGAUACCACCCUUGUAUCAUUGAAUUUCUAACCCGUGGCCGUAAGCCGGUCAGGGGACAAUGUCAGAUGGGGAGUUUGACUGGGGCGGUCGCCUCCGAAAGAGUAUCGGAGGCGCUCAAAGGUUCCCUCAGAAUGGACGGAAACCAUUCAAAGAGUGCAAAGGCAAAAGGGAGCUUGACUGCGACACUGACGGGUGGAGCAGGUACGAAAGUAGGACUUAGUGAUCCGGUGGUUUUAAGUGGGAAAGCCAUCGCUCAACGGAUAAAAGCUACCCUGGGGAUAACAGGCUUAUCACUCCCAAGAGUUCACAUCGACGGAGUGGUUUGGCACCUCGAUGUCGGCUCAUCGCAUCCUGGGGCUGAAGUCGGUCCCAAGGGUUGGGCUGUUCGCCCAUUAAAGCGGUACGCGAGCUGGGUUCAGAACGUCGUGAGACAGUUCGGUCCCUAUCCGGCGUGGGCGUAAGAUAUUUGAGAGGAGCUGUCCUUAGUACGAGAGGACCGGGAUGGACUGACCACUGGUGUACCUGUUGGGUAGCAGACCCACGGCAGGGUAGCCAAGUCGGGAACGGAUAAACGCUGAAGGCAUCUAAGCGUGAAGCCGACCUCAAGAUGAGAUAUCUCAUGCGAAAGCAGUAAGACCCCUUAAAGACAAUGAGGUAGAUAGGGCUAAGGUGUAAGUGCAGAAAUGCAUUAAGCUGAUAGUUACUAAUCGGUCGAGGGUUUAACCAA